GUGGGGAAUCUUCCGCAAUGGACGAAAGUCUGACGGAGCAACGCCGCGUGAGUGAUGAAGGUCUUCGGAUUGUAAAGCUCUGUUAAUCGGGACGAAAGAGCCUAGUGUGAAUAAUGCUAGGAAGUGACGGUACCGGAAUAGAAAGCCACGGCUAACUACGUGCCAGCAGCCGCGGUAAUACGUAGGUGGCAAGCGUUGUCCGGAAUUAUUGGGCGUAAAGCGCGCGCAGGCGGAUCUGCCAGUCUGUCUUAAAAGUUCGGGGCUUAACCCCGUGAUGGGAUGGAAACUACAGAUCUAGAGUAUCGGAGAGGAAAGUGUAAUUCCUAGUGUAGCGGUGAAAUGCGUAGAUAUUAGGAAGAACACCAGUGGCGAAGGCGACUUUCUGGACGAAAACUGACGCUGAGGCGCGAAAGCCAGGGGAGCGAACGGGAUUAGAAACCCGAGUAGUCC
rnacentral:rRNA from 1 species